AAUGCAAGUGUCUUGAUCGUUCUCAGUGUCUCCAUGUGCAAGCUCAGCUGCGACAGUCACUUGACCGCAAUGACAAAUUCUGCAUGUUGAGCCAGGGGGAGCUCUAGGUUCCAGCCUCUGCCCUUGGCCUCCCUCACACUUCAUCUGGGGUUAUACAAAGACACAGUCCUUGCCAUGGGUAGCUGGGCCCUCUACCUGACCCUUUGUCUCCUGGGAGCAGGACCCAUGGAUGCUGAAAUCUACCAGGUAAGAUUCCUGCUCACUGAGGCUGGCCAGGAUGUGACCCUGGAGUGUAAACAGAACCUGGGCUACAGUGCCAUGUACUGGUACCGGCAGGACCCAGGGCAGGGUCUGAAGCUGAUUUAUUACUCUACGGUUGUAAAGGAUAUUCAGAGAGGAGACUUAUCUGAAGGCUACAGUGUCUCUCGAGAGAAGCAGGAGCUGUUUCCUCUCACUGUGAAGUCGGCUCACACCAACCAAACAGCUGUGUACCUCUGCUCUGGGGGCACCACAAUGGAGCACGGCCACCUCUCACCUGUGCACAAACCCACUCCAGCCCUACAGCCCCCGAUACAGCCUCCCUCUAAAAACUUGUAAAGUACCCUUUCCCUUCACACU